rnacentral:lncRNA from 1 species
UUGCAUUUACCAUACUUCCUGAAUGUGUUCUUUGCAAUUAGGGACAUCUGAUGAGCUUGGAGUAUUGCUUGGCUUCCCACAGAUAACACGAAGAUGAGAACACCUCUCCUUGAGGCAGAGGCAGAAUGGCAUUGUCGUCUUGAAAGCCAGUAUCAGGUGGUGAAAUCUUUAUGAAGACACCAUCAGAAUAUUACAGAAAAUCCAGGGAAUAUGGAAGGAUGCAGUGCUGACUUUGUGGUCUCUGCGGCUGAGGGCCAAGUGGGAACUUGAUGUGAUAAAAACAAUGAUAAUGCUAAGCUUAAU